rnacentral:lncRNA from 1 species
AUAAAGUCUACCACAAACUUUUGUGUGAAGCCACAGCUUGAACAAGAACUAUCACUUGCUAAUUCCACACACACACAAAAUUCUCUUUAAGAAUUUCAUAAGCCUUCUUAUGCAACGAAAGUUCAGAAAGAGAGUUUCCCACCUCCUUUUGCAGAUACACUUCAACGUUUUCAAUUUUAUUUUUUUCCCCUAAGAAGUCCAAGUAUGGCUCUUAUUUUUAAAAAUUUAUUUUUUCACAAAUUCAUUUUCAACCAUACAUUCUUCUAAUAAAAUAAUUUUGCACAUAAACACGUAACUUUUUACAAAAUUUAUUCAAAAAAAUUACUAUAAAACACUCUAAUAGCAAAAAGAAACAAGCUGUAGCACUCUAGAUUUUGCUGGAGUGUGAAAGGAUAAUAUUGAAAUACAAAGGUAGAACAUAUUUGCAGUCCCACCAUCCACCAAAUUAACGAGAGAGAGAACCAACUCUCCAAUGUUGGGAAAGUUAAGUGCAUAUUAUCAUUAGGACCUUAUAUUUUUUGUUUAUGGUACAUGAAAUUGUUGACCUCGAAAAUUGGUUCUUCCACGUGGCCAAUCGAGAGCUACUCCACGUAUUCCUUUCCGUGCACAAUCAGCGAAUGGUCAGACGCACACAAUCGAGACCAACGACGGUGGUGGCGAUCGUAUAUACUCCGACGGUCAAGUCAGGUUUAAGUGGUCGAAACAGUACCCAAGGGCUGUGCAAAUCAAUGAUAACAGGGGAGAAGAAAAUAUAUAAGCUUGCUAUGGAGUGCUAUGUAGUAAGAGUUUCAUUACCUUUGCCUCUUGUCAAACAUUGGGUAUUUAUAGGUAGCAUGAGCCGUUGGAUGUGGGACGCGUGUAUACAUCUGACGGUAUGAGGCGUUCGCUCAUAGGCGUCAAUCAACUGCGUCUGUAGAGUGGGCGGACAGCUUGUCUCUUCUGAGUUGAAUUGACAUAAAGUUGAUAAGUCACAUCAUCUAGCCUCAUGGAGACGUCAAAUCAAUUUAAACCUUAGGUACAGGAAAGAUCUUGGCAUAAAUCUCUUUCUGAAAUUGGCGACGGAUCCUCUAACCGGGGUCCACUUGGCCUCGACCUUGGGGGCGAGGUACUUUUGGUUAGGUACUACUAGGUUGCAGGUAUUGCUGACAUCACUUCGGAAACACUUCGGACGGGUCUUUAUCAGGUGGGAACAUAUGGUGGUGAGCGUCCGAGGCGUAUCAGAUCGGUCUCAGAUCGGAGUGUAAAAGUGGUCCCCUAAGUCCAUGUAUGAAUAUUUAUAUCAUGGGUGGACUUGCUUUCCCGACCGGAUUGCGACUUGUGGGAGCUUGGGGGUUGAUCUUCUGCAGUAAUCGAGGUUGUGAUCCGAGGCAGAUGUGCCGAAGUUUCGUUACUGUGCGCAGCGUCCGAAGCGGUAACCGUCAUGAGACAGCGCGUCGGGUGCGUCGAAGAUUCGUAAGGUGCGCUGACCCACAGGGCCGACGCAUUGGGAGGGCUAAAACUUUGUAAAGCAUGGGAGGGAACGCAUCAUCCGAGGUAAUGACCCACCGGGGGUGCCGCGUCAGAUGCGUCCAAGUUUUGUAAAGUUGAGUGAGGAGCUCAUCUGUCACCGGUGUGCUGAGCUACAGGGCCGACGCGUUGGGAGAUGGCUAAAACUUUGUAAAGCAUGGGAGGGAACGCAGCAUCCGAGGCGAUGCCCCACCGGGGGUGUCACGUCAGAUGCGUCCAAACUUUGUAAAGUUGAGUGAGAAGCACGAUCCGAGGCGAUUCAAACGUAAAAUGAUUUGACAACUGUUGCGUGUUUCCAAGGUGACAGUUGGGUGCCAUGCCCAUUCUCCCAAAAGGCUGGUGUGGCUACUUAUUAUUAUUAACGGCUGGUUGUAACCGAGGUGACAUGUUUUAAGUAAGCGUGAAUGUCACAGCGACAUCUUGGGCGUAGAUCAAAUCUGGCGUUUCAUUUCAAUGGCCUAGAUUGAAGAUGCGAUGAACAACUUAGAUUGAUCGCAUUUGAAUUCGACAGUGGAGAUCGGAUUCAUGUUUCUAUAAAAGGAGGACUCUGAGGCUUUCUCAGGCUUUCUACCUUUGCGAAACAAACAAUUUACUUUGCUCUCACGUAAUUGGCGAUUUUCGACAUUUUCUAAGCAACUCCGGCAAGAAAAUUAAACUUCCGGCGACCUUACACCAUUUCUGGCUAGGAAAAACUUCAAACUAGUCAGUUUCAUACCUUUUGGGGCUUUUAAAUUUUGAAAGAAUGGCCUCGGAGGGAAGUUCUAGUUCGGAGAGGGGGUUAGAACUACUGAGGGUGGACGAGCCCGUUGUGGCGACCUCCUCAGAA